rnacentral:rRNA from 1 species
CUACGGAGGGUGCGAGCGUUAAUCGGAAUUACUGGGCGUAAAGCGUGCGUAGGUGGUUAUUUAAGCAAGAUGUGAAAGCCCAGGGCUCAACCUUGGAACUGCAUUUUGAACUGGAUGGCUAGAGUAUUGUAGAGGGUGGUGGAAUUUCCAGUGUAGCGGUGAAAUGCGUAGAGAUUGGAAGGAACAUCAGUGGCGAAGGCGGCCACCUGGACAACUACUGACACUGAGGCACGAAAGCGUGGGGAGCGAACAGGAUUAGAAACCCUAGUAGUCC